GGUACCCCCUUAAAGUGCUUGUCUGAAAUAUGCUAGUCAUAGUGAUAAAAGCAGUGGAAUUAUUCUUGUGUCACACUGGUGGAAUUUUUUGUCAGAUAUAUUUUAGUUGUUUCUUUUCUUCUUCUUUUUUUUUGUCCAAUAUCAGGACGAUAUUUGUUAUAAAAAUGAAAAUGUUACCAGACUUGGCCUUUGUUAGUUUGGCCCUAUGCAUUUUUUUUUUGUUAUGAAAAUGAUAUUUGUGGGUAAAAUCUUUAUAAACUACGGUACAUGUACUCGAAAUAUUCUUACCAUAUAGUAGAGGACUGCCUUUAAAAAGGCUACAUUAACAAUUGUACGACCACCUUUGUGGUCCCAACCUAGAACAUCUGUACUGACCAAUUAUUUUCUUUGUUACAAAUUAACAUACAACUGAUGCGAUGAAUUCGUCCAAUAUUUAGCCAUGGUAGAUAAGUUAUAGAUUUGAUAAUUCUGAUUAUUUGUGACUUCAGAUUAAUGAAAUAAAACUGAUUAUUAACUG
rnacentral:sRNA from 1 species